rnacentral:rRNA from 1 species
CCUACGGGGUGCAGCAGUGGGGAAUAUUGCACAAUGGGGGAAACCCUGAUGCAGCGACGCCGCGUGAGUGAAGCAGUAUUUCGGUACGUAAAGCUCUAUCAGCAGGGAAGAAAAAAAGUCCUUUGGACUUUGGACGGUACCUGACCAAGAAGCCCCGGCUAACUACGGGCCAGCAGCCGCGGUAAUACGUAGGGGGCAAGCGUUAUCCGGAUUUCCUGGGUGUAAAGGGAGCGUAGACGGCAGCGCAAGUCUGGAGUGAAAUGCCGGGGCCCAACCCCGGAACUGCUUUGGAAACUGUGCAGCGGGAGUGCAGGAGAGGUAAGCGGAAUUCCUAGUGUAGCGGUGAAAUGCGUAGAUAUUAGGAGGAACACCAGUGGCGAAGGCGGCUUACUGGACUGUAACUGACGUUGAGGCUCGAAAGCGUGGGGAGCAAACAGGAUUAGAUACCCGAGUAGUC